CGACGGGCUGCUGCAGUGAGGAAUAUUGCACAAUGGGGGGAACCCUGAUGCAGCAACGCCGCGUGGAGGAUGACGCAUUUCGGUGUGUAAACUCCUUUUAUAUGUCAAGAAAAUGACGGUAGCAUAUGAAUAAGCACCGGCUAACUCCGUGCCAGCAGCCGCGGUAAUACGGAGGGUGCAAGCGUUACUCGGAAUCACUGGGCGUAAAGGACGCGUAGGCGGGUUGGAAAGUCAGGUGUGAAAUCCUACAGCUUAACUGUAGAACUGCACUUGAAACUUCUAAUCUAGAGUAUGGGAGGGGGAGAUGGAAUUAGUGGUGUAGGGGUAAAAUCCGUAGAUAUCACUAGGAAUACCUAAAGCGAAGGCGAUCUCCUGGAACAUUACUGACGCUAAGGCGUGAAAGCGUGGGGAGCAAACAGGAUUAGAUACCCCUUGUAGUC
rnacentral:rRNA from 1 species